rnacentral:tRNA from 1 species
CAUUAGAUGACUGAAAGCAAGUAAUGGUCUCUUAAACCAAAAUAUAGUAAUUUAGCACUUACUUCUAAUGA